GAUGAACGCUGGCGGCGUGCCUAAUACAUGCAAGUCGAGCGAACGGACGAGAAGCUUGCUUCUCUGAUGUUAGCGGCGGACGGGUGAGUAACACGUGGAUAACCUACCUAUAAGACUGGGAUAACUUCGGGAAACCGGAGCUAAUACCGGAUAAUAUUUUGAACCGCAUGGUUCAAAAGUGAAAGACGGUCUUGCUGUCACUUAUAGAUGGAUCCGCGCUGCAUUAGCUAGUUGGUAAGGUAACGGCUUACCAAGGCAACGAUGCAUAGCCGACCUGAGAGGGUGAUCGGCCACACUGGAACUGAGACACGGUCCAGACUCCUACGGGAGGCAGCAGUAGGGAAUCUGCCGCAAUGGGCGAAAGCCUGACGGAGCAACGCCGCGUGAGUGAUGAAGGUCUUCGGAUCGUAAACCUCUGUUAUUAGGGAAGAACAUAUGUGUACGUAACUGUGCACAUCUUGACGGUACCUAAUCAGAAAGCCACGGCUAACUACGUG
rnacentral:rRNA from 1 species